GUUAAAGAGGUGUUACCACGUUACCUUUUCGAGGUAAAGUAGGACUUUCCCGAUAUGUCCCUUUAAUA
rnacentral:tRNA from 1 species